UACGUAGGGGGCAAGCGUUGUCCGGAUUUAUUGGGCGUAAAGAGCGUGUAGGCGGCCAUACAGGUCAGCUGUGAAAACUCGAGGCUCAACCUCGAGACGUCGGUUGAAACCGUAUGGCUAGAGUCCGGAAGAGGAGAGUGGAAUUCCCGGUGUAGCGGUGAAAUGCGCAGAUAUCGGGAAGAACACCAGUGGCGAAGGCGGUUACCUGGAGCUUUGCUGACGCUGAUGCGCGAAAGCGUGGGGAGCGAUCCGG
rnacentral:rRNA from 1 species